GUUUGAUAUAAUGUCUUUUCUGUUUGCAGAUAUUAAUCAGAUUAACGUUAGCUCCCUCAUGUUCAGUCACUGCAUUAUAUCUGUCACCUCCGCUGAGGUUUUGCUUUUCAUUGCUUUCUAUAUUAAAUACUAAACUAGGGUGAUUAAACACUGUCACGUGACGUGCAAUAUAUUGCACAAUAUAUAUAACAUAUUCAUAUCAGGUUCAAAGUAGUACAAGUGUAGUUUCAAAAUGGUAUUUGUAGUAGAAGCACGGUAAAAAACAACACUUACCAUGCUUUUUACCACAGUAUUGGUAGUUUUAAUGUGAUUUUUGUUGUAAAUACAGAGUAACCACAACACUUAUCAUGCUUUUAAUGCCUAAUAAUGUUAAAUCCAAAAACUGUAAGGUCAAUAAGAACUUCUUUCCUAUAUAUAUUUAUAUAUAAACCUAUAUAUUAUAAAUAAUGAUAUUUUCUUUUCUCUUGUUUUAGCUGAAAAGACAAAAAGGGCCUUUCGGAAAUGGAUGAAGGAGACAGAAAGCUGCAAAGGCAAAUAAUUGCAAUGGAUUACUUGCAGAUUACUUAGUCCUUCUUUUUAGGAUCUCAACAACAUCAAACUCAACAGCUCUUUUAAGAGCCGACCCUCACAAGAGCUACUAGUGAGUCGCUGCAAACCUGCCGUGAUCAGCCCUUUCCAGAGAAGGAAGACCAGUCCUUAUAUCAAAGCAAGCUCAUCGAAGUCCUUUGUUUAGGGUGAGGAAGGAACAUGACCAUCUAAUGCCCAAAGAAGACAGAAGUCCAUUGAUAGCAAGUGAAGUCACUAACAGAAGAUCCUAGAGGAAAAACGACUGAUGUGCAGCUACGGAGGGACACAAGAGGCAGAAACGAUGCAUGGCCAUGGCUUCUUGAUGAGUACG